rnacentral:lncRNA from 1 species
UCACGUUCUCGAAACAUGGCUCUUAAAAUCAAAGAAAUCAAUGAGAAUUUGGAAUCCAUUAAAAAAGAGGCCGCCGAGCUUCGCCUCGUAGAGAAGCUUGACAAUGAGCCCACUUUGGUUAUUGAUACUUCCGAAACUGCUUCAUUUGCUCUUGAUCCAUUUUUUGUUGGAAGAGAUGAUGUUGUGAACGAAAUAGUUGAGAUGCUUACAA